CCGGCGGACGGGUGCGUAACGCGUAUGCAACCUGCCUGACACAGGGGGAUAAUCCGAAGAAAUUUGGUCUAAUACCCCAUAAUACCGAUAUAGGCAUCUAUGUUGGUUGAAAGCUUUGGUGGUGUCAGAUGGGCAUGCGUUGUAUUAGCUAGUUGGUGAGGUAACGGCUCACCAAGGCGACGAUACAUAGGGGGACUGAGAGGUUAACCCCCCACACUGGUACUGAGACACGGACCAGACUCCUACGGGAGGCAGCAUG
rnacentral:rRNA from 1 species